AAGAGUCUACUUUCAAGGAUCAUUUCCAUAGUUCGUUACUAGAGAAGUUUCUCUGAAUGUGUAGAGCAUCAAUAUGUUAAGUAAAAAAAGUUCCAUCACUGAGUCAGGGGAAGGCAUAUGAC
rnacentral:snoRNA from 10 species